UGCAAGUCGAGCGGUAGAGAGGUGCUUGCACCUCUUGAGAGCGGCGGACGGGUGAGUAAUGCCUAGGAAUCUGCCUGGUAGUGGGGGAUAACGUUCGGAAACGAACGCUAAUACCGCAUACGUCCUACGGGAGAAAGCAGGGGACCUUCGGGCCUUGCGCUAUCAGAUGAGCCUAGGUCGGAUUAGCUAGUUGGUGAGGUAAUGGCUCACCAAGGCGACGAUCCGUAACUGGUCUGAGAGGAUGAUCAGUCACACUGGAACUGAGACACGGUCCAGACUCCUACGGGAGGCAGCAGUGGGGAAUAUUGGACAAUGGGCGAAAGCCUGAUCCAGCCAUGCCGCGUGUGUGAAGAAGGUCUUCGGAUUGUAAAGCACUUUAAGUUGGGAGGAAGGGUUGUAGAUUAAUACUCUGCAAUUUUGACGUUACCGACAGAAUAAGCACCGGCUAACUCUGUGCCAGCAGCCGCGGUAAUACAGAGGGUGCAAGCGUUAAUCGGAAUUACUGGGCGUAAAGCGCGCGUAGGUGGUUCGUUAAGUUGGAUGUGAAAGCCCCGGGCUCAACCUGGGAACUGCAUUCAAAACUGUCGAGCUAGAGUAUGGUAGAGGGGUGGGUGGAAUUUCCUGUGUAGCGGUGAAAUGCGUAGAUAUAGGAAGGGAACACCAGUGGCGAAGGCGACCACCUGGACUGAUACUGACACUGAGGUGCGAAAGCGUGGGGAGCAAACAGGAUUAGAUACCCUGGUAGUCCACGCCGUACACGAUGUCAACUAGCCGUUGGGAGCCUUGAGCUCUUAGUGGCGCAGCUAACGCAUUA
rnacentral:rRNA from 1 species